rnacentral:rRNA from 1 species
CCACCACUAAGCCAGUGGUGAACUCCACAUCCGCAUCCUUUGCUGAGGAUACGGUUAACGGAGCGAAAGCGACGUUCAACCGCAAAACAAGCAGAGGGGGCUUAGUGGUGGGGUGACUGCGUACCUUUUGUAUAAUGGGUCAGCGACUUAUAUUCUGUAGCAAGGUUAACCGUAUAGGGGAGCCGGAGGGAAACCGAGUCUUAACCGGGCGUUAAGUUGCAGGGUAUAGACCCGAAACCCGGUGAUCUAGCCAUGGGCAGGUUGAAGGUUGGGUAACACUAACUGGAGGACCGAACCGACUAAUGUUGAAAAAUUAGCGGAUGACCUGUGGCUGGGGGUGAAAGGCCAAUCAAACCGGGAGAUAGCUGGUUCUCCCCGAAAGCUAUUUAGGUAGCGCCUCGUGAAUUCAUCUCCGGGGGUAGAGCACUGUUUCGGCUAGGGGGCCAUCCCGGCUUACCAACCCGAUGCAAACUGCGAAUACCGGAGAAUGUUAUCACGGGAGACACACGGCGGGUGCUAACGUCCGUCGUGAAGAGGGAAACAACCCAGACCGCCAGCUAAGGUCCCAAAGUCAUGGUUAAGUGGGAAACGAUGUGGGAAGGCCCAGACAGCCAGGAUGUUGGCUUAGAAGCAGCCAUCAUUUAAAGAAAGCGUAAUAGCUCACUGGUCGAGUCGGCCUGCGCGGAAGAUGUAACGGGGCUAAACCAUGCACCGAAGCUGCGGCAGCGAACGUAUCACCCAAGACAACUUUACGGAGUUGACGAUUGACGGAGCGAAGCGACGUCAAAGCGUUCAUUAAAGUCGAGUUGGCUUAGGGAUACGUUCGUUGGGUAGGGGAGCGUUCUGUAAGCCUGUGAAGGUGUGUCGUGAGGCAUGCUGGAGGUAUCAGAAGUGCGAAUGCUGACAUAAGUAACGAUAAAGCGGGUGAAAAGCCCGCUCGCCGGAAGACCAAGGGUUCCUGUCCAACGUUAAUCGGGGCAGGGUGAGUCGACCCCUAAGGCGAGGCCGAAAGGCGUAGUCGAUGGGAAACGGGUUAAUAUUCCCGUACUUGGUGUUACUGCGAAGGGGGGACGGAGAAGGCUAUGUUGGCCGGGCGACGGUUGUCCCGGUUUAAGCGUGUAGGUGUGUGUUCCAGGUAAAUCCGGUUCACUUUAACACUGAGGCGUGACGACGAGGCACUACGGUGCUGAAGCAACAAAUGCCCUGCUUCCAGGAAAAGCCUCUAAGCAUCAGGUAACAUCAAAUCGUACCCCAAACCGACACAGGUGGUCAGGUAGAGAAUACCAAGGCGCUUGAGAGAACUCGGGUGAAGGAACUAGGCAAAAUGGUGCCGUAACUUCGGGAGAAGGCACGCUGACACGUAGGUGAAGUGAUUUACUCAUGGAGCUGAAGUCAGUCGAAGAUACCAGCUGGCUGCAACUGUUUAUUAAAAACACAGCACUGUGCAAACACGAAAGUGGACGUAUACGGUGUGACGCCUGCCCGGUGCCGGAAGGUUAAUUGAUGGGGUCAGCGCAAGCGAAGCUCCUGAUCGAAGCCCCGGUAAACGGCGGCCGUAACUAUAACGGUCCUAAGGUAGCGAAAUUCCUUGUCGGGUAAGUUCCGACCUGCACGAAUGGCGUAAUGAUGGCCAGGCUGUCUCCACCCGAGACUCAGUGAAAUUGAACUCGCUGUGAAGAUGCAGUGUACCCGCGGCAAGACGGAAAGACCCCGUGAACCUUUACUAUAGCUUGACACUGAACAUUGAGCCUUGAUGUGUAGGAUAGGUGGGAGGCUUUGAAGUGUGGACGCCAGUCUGCAUGGAGCCGACCUUGAAAUACCACCCUUUAAUGUUUGAUGUUCUAACGUGGACCCGUAAUCCGGGUUGCGGACAGUGUCUGGUGGGUAGUUUGACUGGGGCGGUCUCCUCCUAAAGAGUAACGGAGGAGCACGAAGGUUGGCUAAUCCUGGUCGGACAUCAGGAGGUUAGUGCAAUGGCAUAAGCCAGCUUGACUGCGAGCGUGACGGCGCGAGCAGGUGCGAAAGCAGGUCAUAGUGAUCCGGUGGUUCUGAAUGGAAGGGCCAUCGCUCAACGGAUAAAAGGUACUCCGGGGAUAACAGGCUGAUACCGCCCAAGAGUUCAUAUCGACGGCGGUGUUUGGCACCUCGAUGUCGGCUCAUCACAUCCUGGGGCUGAAGUAGGUCCCAAGGGUAUGGCUGUUCGCCAUUUAAAGUGGUACGCGAGCUGGGUUUAGAACGUCGUGAGACAGUUCGGUCCCUAUCUGCCGUGGGCGCUGGAGAACUGAGGGGGGCUGCUCCUAGUACGAGAGGACCGGAGUGGACGCAUCACUGGUGUUCGGGUUGUCAUGCCAAUGGCACUGCCCGGUAGCUAAAUGCGGAAGAGAUAAGUGCUGAAAGCAUCUAAGCACGAAACUUGCCCCGAGAUGAGUUCUCCCUGAGACUUAGAGUCUCCUGAAGGAACGUUGAAGACGACGACGUUGAUAGGCCGGGUGUGUAAGCGCAGCG